GAUGAACGCUGGCGGCGUGCCUAAUACAUGCAAGUCGAGCGAACGGACGAGAAGCUUGCUUCUCUGAUGUUAGCGGCGGACGGGUGAGUAACACGUGGAUAACCUACCUAUAAGACUGGGAUAACUUCGGGAAACCGGAGCUAAUACCGGAUAAUAUUUUGAACCGCAUGGUUCAAAAGUGAAAGACGGUCUUGCUGUCACUUAUAGAUGGAUCCGCGCUGCAUUAGCUAGUUGGUAGGGUAACGGCUUGCCAAGGCAACGAUGCAUAGCCGACCUGAGAGGGUGAUCGGCCACACUGGAACUGAGACACGGUCCAGACUCCUACGGGAGGCAGCAGUAGGGAAUCUUCCGCAAUGGGCGAAAGCCUGACGGAGCAACGCCGCGUGAGUGAUGAAGGUCUUCGGAUCGUAAAACUCUGUUAUUAGGGAAGAACAUAUGUGUAAGUAACUGUGCACAUCUUGACGGUACCUAAUCAGAAAGCCACGGCUAACUACGUG
rnacentral:rRNA from 1 species